rnacentral:ncRNA from 2 species
CCCCGCAAUGAUCGCGCCGGUGUCCCGAAAGGGGCUUAAAAGGGAACGCGGUGCGGGAGGGCUUCCCCCUCCCCAUUCCGCGGCUGUCCCUGCAACUGUAAGCGGCGAGCGCGAUGCAUAUGCGCGGUGGAGCAAGGGCUUCGCCGCCAGCCACUGGGCCGGACGCUAAAUCCUGCGAGGCCUGGGAAGGCCUUGCAUCGACGCGACGACCCGCGAGCCAGGAGACCUGCCGGCGUCUGGUCGCUCUU